GGGAGUAUAGCUCAUCAGUAGAGAACAUGCUUAGCAUGCAUGAGGUCCUGGGUUCAAUUCCCAGUACCUCCA
rnacentral:tRNA from 1 species